UUUACUUAGUAUCAGCCAUUCUGAAGCGCUCUUCCAAAACUUAGCGAGACGCCUACUUAGACAUCAUUCAUCCGGUGCGUUCCCUGUUCCACAAGCAUAUGGGUAUGGAACGACAUGAGGGUCACACAGUGGCAGGCUGCGAGAUUUACAGAGACUGCAUUAAACGCUGUUAUAUAAACCCAACCAGAGCGUCUAUUGAAGACCUGUAGCUUCUGUCAAGCUGUUAUGUGCUGUCGGCUGAUAGUCUGCAGUCCUGUUCACUCAAUAAGUCAUGGCUAUUUUAGGGCAUUAUGUUUCAGACUUAGAAUAAACGACCCUGUUUGAAAACAAAAGACCGAACAUAAGUGUAACAGAGGGAUAUUAAAAGGAUGGCUGACCAAAAAAAUGAAUAUUUUGCCAUUUACAGUACUC
rnacentral:lncRNA from 1 species